rnacentral:rRNA from 1 species
CACAUGCAAGUCUCAGCAAUCCCGUGAAUAAGCCCUUUCAACCUCUUACAGGUAAAGGAGCAGGCAUCAGGCACAGAACUCUUGCCCACAACGCCAAGUCUCACCACACCUUCAAAGGUACUCAGCAGUGAUAAAGAUUGUCUAUAAGCGAAAGCUUGAAUCAGUUAAAGAAAAGAGAGCCGGCCAACCCAGUGCCAGCCGCCGCGGAUACACCGUGGGGCUCAAGUUGAUAGUAAUCGGCGUUAAGCGUGAUUAAAGAAGAAUAUAAUUAAAGUUAAAUCAUAUUUAGCUGUGAAAAGCUUGUAUUGAAGAAAUCCAUAAACGAAAGUUACUUUAAUGUAUACACUUGACUACACGACA